rnacentral:rRNA from 1 species
AGUGAACGCUGGCGGCAGGCCUAAUACAUGCAAGUCGAACGGCAGCACAGCAGAGCUUGCUCUGUGGGUGGCGAGUGGCGGACGGGUGAGGAAUACAUGGGAAUCUGCCCAGUCGUGGGGGAUAACGUAUGGAAGCGUACGCUAAUACCGCAUGCGCCCUACGGGGGAAAGUCGGGGACCGCAAGGCCUGGCGCGAUUGGAUGAGCCCAUGUUCGAUUAGCUAGUUGGCGGGGUAAAGGCCCACCAAGGCGACGAUCGAUAGCUGGUCUGAGAGGAUGAUCAGCCACACUGGAACUGAGACACGGUCCAGACUCCUACGGGAGGCAGCAGUAGGGAAUAUUGGACAAUGGGGGCAACCCUGAUCCAGCCAUGCCGCGUGAGUGAAGAAGGCCCUCGGGUUGUAAAGCUCUUUUGUCCGGAAAGAAAAGCAAUCGGUUAAUACCCGGUUGUUCUGACGGUACCGGAAGAAUAAGCACCGGCUAACUUCGUGCC